rnacentral:rRNA from 1 species
UUAGUGGCGGACGGGUGAAGUAACGCGUGAGUAACCUGCCUUACAGGAGGGGAUAACGUUGGAAACGAACGCUAAUACCGCAUAAUGUAUCGGGAUCGCAUGGUUCUGAUACCAAAGUAUUUUAUCGCUGUAAGAUGGACUCGCGUCUGAUUAGAUAGUUGGCGGGUAACGGCCCACAAGUCGACGAUCAGUAGCCGGACUGAGAGGUUGAACGGCCACAUUGGGACUGAGACACGGCCCAGACUCCUACGGGAGGCAGCAGUGAGGGAUAUUGCACAAUGGGCGCAAGCCUGAUGCAGCAACGCCGCGUGAGGGAUGUACGGUUUUCGGAUUGUAAAACCUCUGUCUUUGGUGAAGAUAAUGACAUUAGCCAAGGAGGAAGCCACGGCUAACUACGUG